UGAUCUGGCCCCUGCAUUCUGUGUUGCAGGUACAAAUCUCUCUCCUUCCACCUUGAAUCUUUAGCUGCUCUCCAUUUCACUCCAAUUCCACUGACUUGUGAUUGAAGGGAAAAUGCUGAAACCAGAGGAAAGCUCAGUGUCUCCAACAAUCUCUCAUUUGACAGGCUCUUUCUGUGACAGUUCUGACUUCACUGUGUUUCUCUCUGACCCCUCAGGUAUCAGUGGGGACAUCACCAUGACCCAGUCACCCCCGGUGCUGUCAGUGGAACUGGGCCAGAUCGCAACCAAUACCUGUACGGCCAGUCAAUCUGUGAGCAAGUGGGUUAACUGGUACCAGCAGCGAGAAGGACAGAAACCCUCUCUCCUGAUCUAUGAUGCAACAACUCGAAACACAGGAGUCUCCGAGCGAUUCACUGGCAGAGGAUAUGGGACCAGUUUCACCCUGACAAUCAGCAACGUUCAGAAUGAGGAUGUCGCUGACUAUUACUGUAUGUAGUAUAACAGCUACUCUUAUGUUCGAUAAAGGAACCAAGCUCAG